rnacentral:lncRNA from 1 species
CCCAGCUGUCUAUUCUUUCUGAUCUGAAAAAAAAAAGAAAAUAAAGAAAGAAACCUAUUUGGGAGGAAUUAUGAAGCCUGCCUACAAAAGGCUUUUGUUGAUAAACAUCUUAAGAGCAGCAAAGACUUUUUGUCCCGAAGAACAGUGGUGGGUAUUCCUCAUUUGGGAAUGGCCUGACCUUCCUUCUGAGUUGCUCAUGGAGUGAAGAUUCUCCAUUGGUGUUGUCAGAUGGCAACAAUGACUUCGAGCUGUAAGGUUUGUUCCAUAACCCAUUGACCAUACAUCUGGCCAUCCUGCUGGCAUACAUGGGUGCCCUACUUAUGAAUAAUCCCAGGACAUGGAGGCUGUGAGGCUGGUACCACAGCCCAGCGAAGGUACAGUGAAAGAUGUAACAAAGGCUGCAUCUACUCCUAUUGGGAGCAUCUGCACAUCUAAUGAAAAGUGCCUAGAAGAAGGCCAGAAGCACAACAUCUGCACACCCAAGACACUAGUGCGCAUACAAUUCUUGGACAAGGGUGCUGGAGGACUG